AUCACUAAUCUAUGAAAAUGAAAAUUUUUGUGUAGUAUAUACUUAUUUUAACCAUUAAAAAUCUAUGAAGUCGCCUUUUGGCUCUCUGAGCAGCACCAUGGCGGUUGGCAAGAAUAAGCGCCUUACGAAAGGCAGCAAAAAGGGAGCCGAGAAGAAAGUGGUUGAUCCAUUUUCUAAGAAAGAUUGGUAUGAUGUGAAAGCACCCGCUAUGUUCAAUAUAAGAAAUAUUGGAAAGACGCUAGUCACCAGGACUCAAGGAACCAAAAUUGCAUCUGAUGGCCUCAAGGGUCGAGUGUUUGAAGUUAGUCUUGCUGAUUUGCAGAAUGAUGAAGUUGCAUUUAGGAAAUUCAAGCUAAUUACUGAAGAUGUUCAGGGCAAAAACUGCCUAACUUCCAUGGCAUGGAUCUUACCCGUGACAAAAUGUGCUCCUGGUCAAAAAAUGGCAGACAAUGAUUGAAGCUCAUGUUGAUGUCAAGACUACCGAUGGUUACUUCCUUCGUCUGUUCUGUGUUGGUUUUACUAAAAAACGCAACAAUCAGAUACGGAAGACCUCUUAUGCUCAGCACCAACAGGUCCGCCAAAUCCAGAAGAAGAUGAUGGAAAUCAUGACCCGAGAGGUGCAGACAAAUGACUUGAAAGAAGUGGUCAAUAAAUUGAUUCCAGACAGCAUUGGAAAAGACAUAGAAAAGGCUUGCCAAUCUAUUUAUCCUCUCCAUGAUGUCUUCAUUAGAAAAGUAAAAAUGCUGAAGAAGCCCAAGUUUGAAUUGGGAAAACUCAUGGAGCUUCAUGGUGAAGGCAGUGGUUCUGGAAAAGCCACUGGGGAUGACACAGGUGCUAAAGUUGAACGAGCUGAUGGAAAUGAACCACCAGUCCAAGAAUCUGUUUAAAGUUCAGACUUAUAAUAGUGGCAAAUAAAAAGUCUUAUUUGUGGGAAAAAAAAAAAAAUCUAUGAAGUCACUGUUAGUCUUGAACCUAAAAGUGUCUCAAUAAACAUGGUUUAUCAUAAAAUUACUUUGCCUAGUAUUCUCAAAGUGUAAUCAUAUAAUCACCCAAUAAUUUCAAUUUUGAUAAUGCAGUUUACUAAAAAAAAAGUCUUCAAAUUUUGUGUUACAAAUAGACAUGCCAAUUGCAAAACUUAAGGAACCUGGGUCCCCAAAAUACAACAAAAACUUGAGAAGACAUCAUCAGUUUUUCCGGAAAAUAAAGAAAGACUGUUUUCUAAAGUUAAUCUUAUCCACACUGCCUGGCAGUGGUUUCAGAAAAGGAACUGAAGGAAAGAGAAAAAACAAACCACAUCCCAUAGUUACUUAAUACAAAUUUUCACUAAAUACAAUUUGACCUAAGUAUCAUUUUCUUAGUAACUAUUACUUUUAGAGUUUCAUUUUAUCAUCUUCAAAAACUUAUGAAAAUUGAAAAUAUGCCCAGCAGGAGACAAGCUUCUCUAUUCACUCAUAUGUUAGUUUAUUUCUUGAUUUGGUACAACUCCAAAGACAGAGCCAUUUCUUUUAAGUGCUGCAAGAGUUGGAGAGAAUAUGGUCCCAGCAUGUUGCAAAAGGGAUCUAUGUUGUACAAUCUAAGUCUCUAGGGCAACAUUUCUAACUAAAUAACUGAUGAAAAUACAUUUGUAGUAUGAAACAUCCUAUAAGCAAGGGUCAGGCCUUUAUAAUAAUGUAAAAAUACCUACUACCUAUCUUUAUAUAUUAUGUGCUCCUCUCCUAGAGUGCAAGAAUCCUGUCUUAGGUUUCCAUCUUCAGAACUGUCAUACAAUCAGUGUUCCUUAAGUGGAUGAACAUAUCUUAUUCUUCCUUUCAGAUGUGAAACCAAGAGCUUGUCAACAAACUUUAUUGAUGGUGAAAAUUUACCUGCUUCUUCAUACAAUUUUUACUAUUUCUGUAUCUUGUCAUCAAGGACACAGUUGAUUUUAUCUGUACUGGGAAAAAUGUGUCAAAAAUAUUACAAAUUUUGUGAAGACUUGUACACAAACUUUCUAUUCUACUGUUUGUAUAAAGCAUUAUAAGGAGAUAAAGGUCAGAAAACAAGAUAUAGUUUUGCAGACAUGGUUGCCCAAGGUUAUUAGCUAAGAAGUGGUAAAGUUACAAUCAAGACCCAGCUAACUCCCAAUCUCAUGUGCUUUCUAUUACAAUACAGUUUUACAGGAAUACCUGUUCUUAAUUCAUUUAUUAGUCUAGAAAACAUUUUUUGGAAAAAUUUUAGGAAAAAAAAAAAAACUUCAUAGAAAAGACUAAUUACACAUGCUUUAUUUUAAAAAUUCUUCUGGGCCAUCACAUCUCUGAUGUCACUAAGACUCAAAACAUUAAAAUAUCACAUUAAAUAAAACCGCAGUUGCAUGCACUGGACAUAAAGCAGAAUACAUAUAUAUGUGAUCCUUUGACAAGCUUCAUUCUGACUGCUUACAUUCAUUCUUGUCAUCUUUCCAAGGAGACAACUCAAGCUUAGAAGCCUUACCGAAAACCCACAGUUGUUUUCCUGCACCACCCACCUCCUUCAAUUAGUUUCCCCUUCUCCAUACCAUUCUGUGUCCUUACCAAUCUCUACCUUUGGCACUGGGAUGCUUUCCCCACCCCAGACCUUCACGUGACUCGUUUUCAUUCUUGCAGCCUAGAGGGUCUACUAUCUAAAGUGGCCUCUCCCAGUUACUGCUUCCUAAGCACAUAUUACAAUUUAUAAUUAACCUUUUUACUUAUUUUUACUAGCAAAUUGUCUUUCCCAUCAGGAUAUCCCAUGAGGGCUCUCUCCACACCAUUGUCUCUACAACACCUUCUUUUCCAUCAUUACCAAAACCGCACUGGAAAUACUGCCAUUUCUACCACCUCCCAUAAGUAAGUUCAUCAAGGCUAAGUGGUGUCUUAUUCAUGUUUCCCCAGCACUUGGUAAAGUCCCUGGCCCAUCCUAGGAAGUCAGUAAAAAUUUGUAAAAUAAAUUAGCUUGCUAAACAAGGAUUACUACUAAGGAAGCAGAGAACACCACCACAUUAACAUUUAAUAGUACAGGGCAACAUUGCAGGUUGUACACACAAACACUGGAGUGGUACAAUGUACGGAAAAGAGUAGUAAGGGCAAAAUUCCAUUUAAAGGGAUGAGGUGCUUUCUGCCUCGGCAGAGAGAGAGAAGAGCAAUCAAGCAAGCUAACUUUUAUUCUACUCCGGACCAACAGAACACAUUGGCCCCCAAAAUUUUUAUUGUAGAGGGCCGCGAUUUAUUCAGCACACUCGACUACUUAUUAAGACUCCAAGUACCAACAUACUACGAUUAUUUUGCAUUUUCUAAGGUACAACAGAUAAGGAGCAGAGGGGUGCCUCUGAAACCUGAUAGAACAAACAUGGAAGUAGAAAUAAUAAUGGCAAAUAUUUAUAUUUGUAAAAGACUUGAAAACAUACAGAAAGAUUUCAGAGUGGUCAUGGAGACUAAACACAACACACUCAUAAAUAUGUAAUCAUAGGUUAGGACCCACCAUGGCACAGAAGUGAUCAUACGACUGCCAAAAGAGGCCACACUACAUCUCUCUUCCCAUCCUCUUCUACUCAAAGAGUCAGUCUUAUUCUUGGUAGCACAAUCGUCUCAAAGGAAUACAGAAAAGACGAAAAUACGACUUAAACGUUAAAAAAAAAAAAAAAAAAGCAAAAACCAAACAACCAACCA